GCUGCUCAGAUGUGCUGCCUCUUCGUGGCGAGCAGCAGGCAACGAGAUCCUGUCUCGGCUAAAGCAUGA
rnacentral:ribozyme from 10 species